UGACCGCUGGCGGCAUGCUUUACACAUGCACGUCGCCCGGCAGCGCGGGCUUCGGCCUGGCGGCGAGUGGCGAACGGGUGAGUAAUACAUCGGAACGUGCCCAGUAGUGGGGGAUAGCUCGGCGAAAGCCGGAUUAAUACCGCAUACGACCUGAGGGUGAAAGCGGGGGAUCUUCGGACCUCGCGCUAUUGGAGCGGCCGAUGGCAGAUUAGCUAGUUGGUGGGGUAAAGGCCUACCAAGGCGACGAUCUGUAGCUGGUCUGAGAGGACGACCAGCCACACUGGGACUGAGACACGGCCCAGACUCCUACGGGAGGCAGCAGUGGGGAAUUUUGGACAAUGGGCGAAAGCCUGAUCCAGCAAUGCCGCGUGUGUGAUGAAGGCCUUCGGGUUGUAAAGCACUUUUGGCGGGAACGAAAAGGACUGUGCCAAUACCACGGUUCGAUGACGGUACCCGCAGAAUAAGCACCGGCUAACUACGUG
rnacentral:rRNA from 1 species